AAAUUACCUUGGGAAGAAAAAGGUAGGAGAGAAAAAAGCUCAAAGAUGGCAUUGGGCCUCAUUUUGUGAGGACACUCAAUCUUAAUUUAGAGAAAAAGAGAAGAGACUUUUUAUUGAGUGUAAGAAGCAUGAGAACUGGAAAGAACAGAUUUUUCAGACAAGCCUAGUUUUGUAAGUUUAAAGGAGAAUCAUGCUUGUGUUUCGAUGCAGGUGGGACUGUCGAUCAGGUGUAUGUGUUUGUGUGUCUGUUUGUGUCUAUAAAUCCACACCCAUUUUUCACCAGAAACAUCCAGGAAUACACUUCUGGCAAGAGCAUGGACUAGUUCAGGAUGGGGACAUGACAUCACUUGGGUGCAGACAUAUGAGGAAGGUCUCUUUCAUAUUCAAAAAAGAUCCUUCUUUAACAGUCAGAGAUGAUAUAACUGGAAGAUAUUCCAACAGAUUGUAUACAUAUGAACCUCAGGAUUUGCCACUGUGGAUAGAAAACAUGAAGAAAGCAUUAAAACUUACUCAAUCCAAGUUAUAAUGGAGUACCUCUUAAGAUCUUGAAUGUCGGAGUUCCCGUCGUGGCGAAGUGGUUAACGAAUCCGACUAGGAACCAUGACGUUGCGGGUUCGGUCCCUGCCCUUGCUCAGUGGGUUAACGACCCGGCGUUGCCGUGAGCUGUGGUGUAGGUUGCAGACGCGGCUCGGAUCCCCCGUUGCUGUGGCUCUGGCGUAGGCCGGUGGCUACAGCUCCGAUUCAACCCCUAGCCUGGGAACCUCCAUAUGCCGCGGGAGCGGCCCAAGAAAUAGCAACAACAGCAACAACAACAUCAACAACAACAACAGACCAAAAGACAAAAAAAGACAAAAAAAAAAAAAAAAAAAAAAAAAAAAAAGAUCUUGAAUGUCACAAAGAAACACUUCUAGUUAAAUGACUAAUAUUCAAAAGGCAGAUAUAUGGCUUUUGUAACAUUACCAUUUAGAUUUUUAACAUGUUUGCAAUAGUCUUACGGAGGUAUGGUGAUAUUUCAAUAAAUGUCAAAACAUGCACA
rnacentral:lncRNA from 1 species